GAUGAACGCUGGCGGCGUGCCUAAUACAUGCAAGUCGAGCGAACAGACGAGGAGCUUGCUCCUCUGACGUUAGCGGCGGACGGGUGAGUAACACGUGGAUAACCUACCUAUAAGACUGGGAUAACUUCGGGAAACCGGAGCUAAUACCGGAUAAUAUAUUGAACCGCAUGGUUCAAUAGUUAAAGACGGUUUUGCUGUCACUUAUAGAUGGAUCCGCGCCGCAUUAGCUAGUUGGUAAGGUAACGGCUUACCAAGGCGACGAUGCGUAGCCGACCUGAGAGGGUGAUCGGCCACACUGGAACUGAGACACGGUCCAGACUCCUACGGGAGGCAGCAGUAGGGAAUCUUCCGCAAUGGGCGAAAGCCUGACGGAGCAACGCCGCGUGAGUGAUGAAGGUCUUCUGAUCGUAAAACUCUGUUAUUAGGGAAGAACAAAUGUGUAAGUAACUAUGCACGUCUUGACGGUACCUAAUCAGAAAGCCACGGCUAACUACGUG
rnacentral:rRNA from 1 species